CUCCGGUUGAUCCUGCCGGACCCGACUGCUAUCAGAGUGGGACUAAGCCAUGCGAGUCAACGUAGCAAUACGUGGCAUACGGCUCAGUAACACGUAGUCAACAUGCCCAGGGGACGAGGAUAACCUCGGGAAACUGAGGAUAAACCUCGAUAGGCCAUGAUUUCUGGAAUGAUUCUUGGCUCAAACCUAUAUGGCCCCUGGAUUGGACUGCGGCCGAUCAGGCUGUUGGUGAGGUAAUGGCCCACCAAACCUAUUACCGGUACGGGCUCUGAGAGGAGGAGCCCGGAGAUGGGCACUGAGACAAGGGCCCAGGCCCUAUGGGGCGCAGCAGGCGCGAAACCUCUGCAAUAGGCGAAAGCUUGACAGGGUUACUCUGAGUGAUUUCCGCUAAGGGAAUCUUUUGGCACCUCUAAAAAUGGUGCAGAAUAAGGGGUGGGCAAGUCUGGUGUCAGCCGCCACGGUAAUACCAGCACCCCGAGUGGUCGGGACGAUUAUUGGGCCUAAAGCAUCCGUAGCCGGUCCUGCAAGUCUUCCGUUAAAUCCAGCUGCUCAACAGAUGGGCUGCGGGAGAUACUACAGGGCUAGGAGGCGGGAGAGGCAAGCGGUACUUUAUGGGUAGGGGUAAAAUCCGCUGAUCCAUAGAAGACCACCAGUGGCGAAGGCGGCUUGCCAGAACGCGCUCGACGGUGAGGGAUGAAAGCUGGGGGAGCAAACCGGAUUAGAUACCCGGGUAGUCCCAGCUGUAAACGAUGCAGACUCGGUGAUGGGCUAGCCUUGUGCCAGCCCAGUGCCGCAGGGAAGCCGUUAAGUUUGCCGCCUGGGGAGUACGGUCGCAAGACUGAAACUUAAAGGGAUUGGCGGGGGGAGCA
rnacentral:rRNA from 1 species